rnacentral:lncRNA from 1 species
UUCCAAAUCUUUCUGUUUGAACCCGUCGAACUGGAUCUUAUCAAUUAUUGGUAAUAUUAAUUAUUUGGAAAACAAAAGUUCCUGGAAUGGAGUAUUUUUAAUCAACAGCAUUGUCCUAUAUUAGUUAUAAAUAAAGUUGAAUUCUUUGAUUUGCUGUUUUACGUCAUGCCCGCUUACAAAUUGAAAACUGUACCUAUACGCCUUAUUUUUAGUCCAGAUUUUUAGUAUUCGUAUUGUUAUCUUAGAAAGUCUUACUGAUUAAAAUACUACUUAGUAGUGUCAACCCUGUGAUUAUGACCCGUGUAUAUAGCAUAUUAAUCCUGAAUACACCGUUUGUUGGUGCGCCUGUCAGAUGCGGAGCGUACAGAUAAGGUAAUAGGUAACAGGUGAAUAUACUAUUGGUAUCGGU